UCCGGUAGAGGAUAUGCAGUGCCGCUGCUUGCAGGGCUCAGAGUCUAACAAGGAGUCACCGGAGCACCAGGACAAAGAUACUCAAACCUUGUGGAAGGCACAUAAUGGCAUUUUGCUUGCCCCUAUACUCUCCUCUUGGCAACACUCACAGCGGGGGAGUGUGCAGCCAUGUGCACCACGUCACCACAGACAGAGAGUGGAGCAUCUAGUACAUUACUUCAGAGACACUGCGUGGUAUAGUACUGCCUGUCUUUUCUCUAAAACACCCUCUCAACUCCUUCAUCUUUUCUUUCUGUUUGCAUGGUCUCUUACUCUGUACAGUGAGGACAGCCCAUCUGCAUCAUACAGGUUCACACUACUGUCAUUCUUAAUAUACUCUUCUUAAUAGCUUUUCCAUGACAUUCUAAUUUAUUGAGAUGCACCUGUAUUUUAGAUCACUUAAC